rnacentral:rRNA from 1 species
UACGUAGGGUGCAAGCGUUGUCCGGAAUUAUUGGGCGUAAAGAGCUCGUAGGCGGUUUGUCGCGUCUGCUGUGAAAACUCGGGGCUUAACCCCGGGCCUGCAGUGGGUACGGGCAGACUAGAGUGCGGUAGGGGAGACUGGAAUUCCUGGUGUAGCGGUGGAAUGCGCAGAUAUCAGGAGGAACACCGGUGGCGAAGGCGGAUCUCUGGGCCGUAACUGACGCUGAGGAGCGAAAGCAUGGGGAGCGAACAGG